rnacentral:rRNA from 1 species
GACGGAGGAUGCAAGUGUUAUCCGGAAUCACUGGGCGUAAAGCGUCUGUAGGUGGUUUAAUAAGUCAACUGUUAAAUCUUGAGGCUCAACCUCAAAAUCGCAGUCGAAAACUAUUAGGCUAGAGUAUAGUAGGGGUAAAGGGAAUUUCCAGUGGAGCGGUGAAAUGCGUAGAGAUUGGAAAGAACACCGAUGGCGAAGGCACUUUACUGGGCUAUUACUAACACUCAGAGACGGAAAGCUAGGGUAGCAAAUG